UACGUAGGGGGCGAGCGUUGUCCGGAUUUAUUGGGCGUAAAGAGCUCGUAGGUGGUUUGGUAAGUCGGAUGUGAAAUCUCCAGGCUCAACCUGGAGGGGUCAUUCGAUACUGCCAUGACUAGAGUUCGGUAGGGGAGUGUGGAAUUCCUGGUGGAGCGGUGAAAUGCGCAGAUAUCAGGAGGAACACCGGUGGCGAAGGCGGGACUCUGGGCCGAUACUGACGCUGAGGAGCGAAAGCGUGGGGAGCAAACAGG
rnacentral:rRNA from 1 species